GAUGAACGCUGGCGGCGUGCCUAAUACAUGCAAGUCGAGCGAACGGACGAGAAGCUUGCUUCUUUGAUGUUAGCGGCGGACGGGUGAGUAACACGUGGAUAACCUACCUAUAAGACUGGGAUAACUUCGGGAAACCGGAGCUAAUACCGGAUAAUAUUUUGAACCGCAUGGUUCAAAAGUGAAAGACGGUCUUGGUGUCACUUAUAGAUGGUUCCGCGCUGCAUUAGCUAGUUGGUAAGGUAACGGCUUACCAAGGCAACGAUGCAUAGCCGACCUGAGAGGGUGAUCGGCCACCCUGGAGCUGAGACACGGUCCAGACGCCUACGGGAGGCAGCAGUAGGGAAUCUUCCGCAAUGGGCGAAAGCCUGACGGAGCAACGCCGCGUGAGUGAUGAAGGUCUUCGGAUCGUAAAACUCUGUUAUUAGGGAAGAACAUAUGUGUAAGUAACUGUGCACAUCUUGACGGUACCUAAUCAGAAAGCCACGGCUAACUACGUG
rnacentral:rRNA from 1 species